GGUGGCUCAGUGGUAAAGUGCUUGCCUUGCAUGCAUGAGGCCUGGGUUCAAUUCCUCAGCACCA
rnacentral:tRNA from 1 species